rnacentral:tRNA from 1 species
GCCUGGGUGGCUCAGUUGGUUAAGUGUCUGACUUCGGCUCAGAUCAUGAUCUCAUGGUUCGUGGGUUAAAGCCCCGUGUCAGGUU